rnacentral:rRNA from 1 species
UAAUACGGAGGGUGCAAGCGUUGUUCGGAAUUACUGGGCGUAAAGGGCGUGUAGGCGGUUAGGAAAGUCAGAUGUGAAAUCCCUUAGCUCAACUAAGGAAGUGCAUUUGAAACUGCUUAACUAGAGUACAAGAGGGGAAAGUGGAAUUCCCAGUGUAGAGGUGAAAUUCAUAGAUAUUGGGAGGAACACCGGUGGCGAAGGCGACUUUCUGGCUUGAUACUGACGCUGAGACGCGAAAGCGUGGGGAGCAAACAGGAUUAGAUACCCUGGUAGUCCACGCCGUAAACGAUGGGCACUAGGUGUAGGAAGUGUUGACCCUUUCUGUGCCGAAGCUAACGCAUUAAGUGCCCCGCCUGGGGAGUACGGUCGCAAGGCUA